rnacentral:rRNA from 1 species
AUACGUAGGGGGCAAGCGUUAUCCGGAUUUACUGGGUGUAAAGGGAGCGUAGACGGUAAAGCAAGUCUGAAGUGAAAGCUCGGGGCUCAACCCCGGAACUGCUUUGGAAACUGUUUUACUGGAGUGCAGGAGAGGUAAGCGGAAUUCCUAGUGUAGCGGUGAAAUGCGUAGAUAUUAGGAGGAACACCAGUGGCGAAGGCGGCCUGCUGGACGACAACUGACGCUGAGGCGCGAAAGCGUGGGGAGCAAACAGGAUUAGAUACCCUGGUAGUCCACGCUGUAAACGAUGAAUACUAGGUGUGGGGGGACUGACCCCCUCCGUGCCGCAGUUAACACAAUAAGUAUUCCACCUGGGGAGUACGAUCGCAAGAUUGAAACUCAAAUGAAUUGACGGGG